CAUAUUAUGUAGUUAUGCGUGUUUGCUUUCUUUUCCUUGUUCCCUCAGUUUCGUUUUGUGUUGACAUGAUCUCAAGGACCUGACCACUUGAUGUGUUGCUCUGGUGGCUGGACCGGUGCUCUCUGGAUCUUAUUUAUAAGUAACUUUGUUUGAACAAAAAAAAACUGAGGGAACAAGCAAAAGAAAGCAAACACGCAUAACUACAUAAUAUGUAUGAUACGCAAUACAGAUAAUUGUUUCCAACUUUUAACACAUUAAAAUAUUUUUUGUCCUGAAAUCGAAACAGCCCUACAGCAAUAGUGAGCAAUGGAAUGCCAUGAUAUGAUAUCUCAUUUCCCGUCACCACCAAACAGGUAGUCCAGUGAAGACCCACCACCAGGAGCUGCAUGGACCUUUGUUGUAGGCCGAUCAGUGAGGAAGUUGCCACAGUU
rnacentral:misc_RNA from 1 species